GCCACUGACUGUGGGAUCGUCGUUUGAGUUGAACUGCGUAGGUUAUUUUAGUGGACGUAUAAUACAAAUCUAUCAAUACUUUCUUCAAUUUGUGAGCCAUUUCAUGCAAAUAAUUUUUUUUAUAAUUAUGAUAUUGCAUUUGCUGAUUUAUUAAUUUUUUGGUAUAAAUUCUGAGUAAGCAGGAUCGUUUAUACAGUAAGUUAGUGUAAAUCCCGCAUUAAGCUGACAGUGAAUCGAGUUGUUGGUCUCGGGUCCAACGCCGAAGUAAAUUAAUGGAACAUCACAAUUUGAGGGAGAAUGAAGCAAAUUAAAGGCGUUUUAAAAUUCCAUUGGCGUUUGUAACCAAUACUUGGGCACAUCGCAUGCAUAUACACAAGUGAUGAUACAUUGUUCAUCACUGAUGAAGAUUAGAUACAUUUCAAUUGCUAUUUACUUAAAUAUAUCUGUAAAAUGGCUGUGUGUGAACACGAUGGGCAACACCAAAAAGAGACACAACACCUUAGCGAGCAGUGAAGUGACAAAUCGAAGGCGCCUUAUGUAUUUUUCAGCCGCGCGCUGUAGGCCUCUUCUUUUCUAGUAUAAAUAAACAUAUGUUGGCAGCGCUGGGACAGAGCAUUUGUUUGGAAAAUAGUGAGUUAUAUCUGUUGCUAGCGCGAGUCUUGCCCGAUAACUUGGUUGUUGCUUUCAUAUGGACAUUUUUCGUCAAGUGAGCUGAGCUGAGAGAAAGCGAGCAGGGGUGUGGCGAAUGGAAGAGGACUUGCAUUAUCAUAAUAUUUUUACGUACCUACAUAAGUAUAUAAAGCGAAACCAAUUUUUGUAUGAAUGUAGGCAUAUUUGCUAAUUAUUUUAAAAUAAAAAUUCAAUAAGA